rnacentral:tRNA from 1 species
GCCCGGGUGGCGAAAUUGGCAGACGCGCCAGCUUGAGGUGCUGGUGGGCGCAAGCUCUUGCAGGUUCGAAUCCUGUCCCGGGCA